rnacentral:lncRNA from 1 species
GGCAAUCGCCUAGGGCCUCAAAAAUUGAGGCUUACGCUCAGUACCUCAAAACUCAUAGUAAUACCAUUAUCCCAACAGCCCAUGUUUGAAUCCAGUAGAAACUUAAGCCAUUAAGGAAAUUGAACGGACACUACGAGAAGGAAAUUGAAGGGACGAGAAGGAAAUUGAAGGCCGAUUCAAUCAAAAGGUAAGUCGUCUUCUUCAAUUUAGAAUUCCCAAAUCUCCUCUCCAAAAACUUUUUUGUUUUCCUAUAAGUUUUCUACGUCAAUGGUCCUCCCAAAAGUUUUCUGUUUUCCAGUCGGUGUCCUGCUCUUCUCGACAUCUCUAGACUCCAGCCCUACUCAAGUGCUCAUCAGCCUCAUCUAUUUAGAUUUUAGGUAUUAACUAUUAAAUAUAAUUGGUUUAUCAUAUAAUAAUUUAAUUAAUAGCAGUCGCCAGAGAGCUCUUUCUGAAUUCUCUCCUUGGAUUUUUGGAUUUUAGAAUGAUGAUUAUGGGUAGAAAAUUGUAGGUGAGGAAGAAAUUACCAAAUUUGCCAUUUAGAGGGUAUCUAGAGAUGGAAACAGGGAGAUGUGUGGCACCAAUUUUGUCGUGUAUCUUUGAUUUUUGCAAGCUUAAGUUGUCUUCAUCACCAAUAUCGUAUUUAUUUGUGAAUGAUUUAAUAUUAACAUGACCUCAGUCUGAUCACCAUUAUCAGUUGAAACUCUUCAUUUUCCUAAUUUGUUGUUCGUCGAUAAAAAUCUGCAUUUUAUUCAACAAUGAUUUUCUUGACUCUCUUGAAUUUUUUAUGUGAUUGUCUAUGAUUUUCUUGUGAUUAAAGUUAAGUUACAGGCUUAAAGUUGUUAAACCAUUAAACCACUAAGUUUGUAGACAGAGAAAGAAUGGUAGAAUCUUUCUUGGAGUCUAGAAGAAUAUUGAAAUAAUGAAAUUCAUUAAUGAUUAACCAUUGGGUGUCUUAUAAUUUUUAGUUUUAUGAUAUGUAAUUUGUCAAAACCUCAUGUAUAUUACUAUUGCCUUUUUUUUUUUUUUUUUUUAAAUUUGUAUGAAAACUGACCUGCAAAAUAAUUUAUUUGAAAGGAGGUUUUGCCCUUGUUUGAGCCCAUUUUUAUGGGAAUAAUGAAUUUUCGAAUAGUGUAUUGAUGGGAAAUGUAUGGUUAAAAAAUAAGAAAAAGUAUUGAAUUUGAAUGUAAGAUUAUUUUAUUGAAAAAUGUACGAUUGAAAUAAUGUCAAAACACUGUUGAAAAAUGUAUUUUUCCCAAAGAAUGAGGCUCAAACAAGGGCUUUGAUUCUUUUGAAUGUCGUGCUUGAUUUUAUUGCUCAAGCUCAUCAUUUAUGUUGGUAUUGCUCAAGUCUAUUCUAAAUAGGGGUGGACAAAAUGUCCAGACCAAACCAAAUCAAAUCGGAAGCAAACCAAACCGAGUGGUUCGGUUCGAUUUUACGAAAAAAAUUAAUGGUUUUGGAUCUUUGAACCGAGAACCAUUUGGUUCUAGUUUCUGUUCAGUUCUAAUGCUAGAACCAAAAAUCAAACAUAAUUUAUAAUUUUAUUUUUUAUAUGAAUCUAAUUUUAUAUUAAUGGAAGUUAGUCCAAUAACCAUUAUUUUUUUUACAGCUAAUUAAAUGUGUCUAGCUCAUUAAUUUUUUUCUCUAAUAGCUAUAGCCGUCCAGCCCAAAGGGUUAAGAGAAACCCAAAUUCCCAAUUCCAAUUUGUCUCUCAAUAUUCACCGUCUCACUUGGUCAUCGACGCCGCCUUCCAAUCCAUCAUUGUAUUUAUCUCCGAGGACACUUUGAAUUCUGAGGUAGUGAUGUUUGUUUGUUUAUAAAUACAUAUAAUUUCUAAACAAAAGCUAACCCUUUUGUUGGAAUUUCUUCAUUUUUUGAAUUUCUCAAAACUCACCUUCACAGUGCUACGGUAGAGGAAGAUAGGUAGUACCACCACCAAUUUUCCCAGUUUGCACACAGACGUCAUCAUCCCACACCAUUCCUCGUUUAGACAGUGCCACUUUUCCUUGUUUGCACAUGGACAUCAUCCCACAUUUGGACAAAGGAUGAAAUUGAACUCAAUAUUAUUAACUUCAACCCAACCGAGCUACAAUGCCCACAAGGAUGAUCACACGGUUGACACAACACACACAUAGGGGUCAGGAUUAUUUUAUUCAUGGGGGGCCCACGCCUCGACUAUGAGUGUGCGGUCAUCCACACAAUAACCGACGCGGGUUGAGUAGCUUGAUUCUAUUAACUUUUGGCAAUGACUCAUUCGUUUAUAUUUUAUUUGUUAAUUUGGACUUUUAUAACCUUGAUUAUUGAUAAUUUGAACUUGUUAAAUGUUUGAUGCUUAUAUUUUUUAUUUAAGUACAUAUUACUAACUUAUAGAUAUUGUGCAAGACUGAAAACUUAAAUAAUAGUACUAGUCUACUAAAACCAGACAAAACCAAACCAAACCAAACCAAAUCAAAUCAGAACCGAAUGGUUCAGUUCGGUUUGGUUCCACGUCUUAAAAAAAACCAUUCGAUUCCAUUAUCAGAAAAACCAUUAGUUCAUAUUUCAAUUCGGUUCUCUUAGAAUCAGAACCAAAUGAAACAACGUUCACCCCUAAUUCUAAAUGUUAUUUGGUUAUUUCUUGCAAGUUGAUUAUUGAAUUCCUUCACUUGGCAAUAUUUAAUAAUAUGGGAUAUUUUUAAUUUUACCCCAUCAAUCAAGUUUUAACGUUUUAGUUGCUUGUAAUUAUGUCCACUAGAAAAUUUGAAUCUGUAUAUUCUAAAAGAAAAUCGAAUAAAAAAGUUGAACAAUUAAUUAAAUCUCAAGAGGGAGCCCUUGAUAAAUUUUUUAGUGGCAGUAAACAAAAACAUAAUGAAGGCGUGGUUACUGAAAGAGAGUCCAAUAAGAACGAUAUCAGUGAUAAUACAAUUGAAAAACAUCAUUGUUUGAUGAAUGAAGAGGUAUUUAUCGGGGAUGAUGUUAUGGAUGAAAGAAACAUUAAUGAAAAGGAUAAAUUGGAUAGUGAACCAUUUUCCCUUGACACUAGUGAUCCAACAAAUUGGAAAAAUAUGAAUCAAAAUUUAAGAGACUUAAUUGUAAUGAAAGGUCCAGUAUGAGACAAUAAUGUAAUUUUUCUAAAAGAUGCAGCUAAUCGACACUUCUCCUCAGGAAAGGGACUUUUUGAUGGACUAGUGAAUUCGUUGAAUAAUCUAGAACUUGACAUUGAUAAUAUAAGGGGUUAAGGAUAUUAUAAUAGUGCUAAAAUGAAAAGAAAACAUAAAAGGGUACAGAAUAGACUACUACAAGUAAAUCCUAGAGCAUUCUACACUCCGUGUGGGUGUCAUAGUUUCAAUCUUGUACUUUGUGAUAUGAUUACUUGCUAUACAAAAGCAAAAUCUUUUUCUGGAGUGGUGCAAUAUAUAUACACUUUGUUUUCAUCAUCUACUAAAAGAUAGAAAUUUUUUAAAGAUAAUGUAAAUGGCCUUACCCUUAAGCCUUUGUUACAAAUACGUUGGGAAAGUCAUGUUUGUUAGACAUCAUGUUGUCAAACGACCUCCCGGACGAUGAUGUAAACCAGUUUUAUCAGUCGACAUGAAUGAAUGAACAAUAAAUCAACACCGAAUAAUGGGAUGACCCGACUUAACGUUGUUUUACCUAUUGGAUGGCUAAUAAACCUUUGUGGCUUAUUGGUGUGCUAUUGGGCCAAAACCCUAGUCGAGCCCACUUACCAUAUGUAUAACUUACCUUAUUGUUUGUCAUUGGUUUACUAUAUAUAUUGGUAACUCUCGUAGCCUUCUAAGGUCCCAUUUUUGUGAAAGAACCCGAGAGAGGGAGAGGCCGUGUCUUCUUCUUCUUCGUCCAUUCUACUUCUUGAUCUUGUCUACCUCUUGCUUGUGUCUUUGUGACCCUUACCUGUGUGGUAUUCAUUCUUUGUGAGUGAGCAAACAACAAGCAGAAGGAAGAAAAGCAACCAUAGGUAGAACUCGUAAGGUCGGCGGCGAGUACCUUCGAUUUUGGUGUUGAUUCGGUGUUUUAAAGGUUAACUGAGCCCGGAAAUUAUCUUGAGCAGCUUGAGGAAGAUCCUAACAUCUGGUAUCAGAGCUUGGUUGGCAAAAAUCGGCUCAAAAUUGGUUGAUUUUCGCGAUUUCAUCCUUUUACCCGAAUCUGAAAUUCUUCAAUUACUCACAAACCAAAACUCGGUUGGACAAACGGAGGCCAUACCCAUUACCAGCAGGUCGAGGCGCCCCUGGUGAGGUGGCGCGUGGGCAGCGACGGCGUGUGGGCGGCAUUCUAGCGAAGCUAUCUUCAGGUAACUUGCUUGUUUCGAUCUCCUGAACGCGCUGAUAUACUUUGUUUUGUAUUUCAGGUUACACAGAAAAAGUUGGACGAUUUUACCCCUGGUGCGAUACUGACUGCAAUUGAACAGCAAGCUCGUUUUUCUCUACUCUACGGACUCAGAUAGGUCCGCUCUGGUAAAUUGGCUUAAUCCAUUUAAAUUCAGCAAUAGUAAGAUCAUCGUGUGGGGUGAUCGUCAGGUUUUGGGGUUACCGUGAAGGGGUAACCAUUGCUUGUGCUAGAACUAGGAUUACUUGCGUUAAUUGAGUGCUUGUUCUUUUGAUUUAAGUGCUUGGUAUUUCUUGGUGGACGUAGCGUUUAGAUUCAUUGUUACUUUUGCUAAGAAUUAACAAGAUAUUACCUUAUCACGCUUCCCAAUACUACUUCGUUUGGUCUAAUUAGUGUGUUAACCAAUGACAACACAUAAUUUUGAUUUGGGAAUAUUUAACGGUAAAGGAGACUUCUCUAUCUGGCAACAAAAGAUGAGAGGCAUAUUAGUCCAACAAAAGGUGUCAAAAGCCAUCGAAGGCAAUUUUGCACCUGAUAUCUCAAAAGAACAAAAAGAGGAAGCCGAUGAGCUUGCCUAUACCUCAAUAAUAUUACACUUGUCUGACGCUGUCUUAAGAAAAGUGGGAAAACUAAAAACCACCAAAGAACUUUGGAAAAGACUAGAAGACUUAUACUUGCUUAAAUCUACACCGAAUAAACUCUACCUACUCGAACGAUUCUUCAGCUUUAAGAUGGAUCCUUUAAAGGAUCUCGACGACAAUUUAGAUGUAUUUAACAAAUUGGUGCAAGAUAUUGUCAAUUGUGACGAAGCCGUGUCUGAGACCUAUAAGGCUAUAAUCUUGCUCAAUUCAAUCCCGGACUCUUAUAAAGAAGUUAAGAAUGCCAUUAAGUAUGGUAGGGACACAUUAACACCUGAAAUUGUCGUAGAUUCUCUUAGGAGUAAAGAGAUGGAAAUGAGGGCUGAAAAAACAGGAUAGGAGGAGUGGAGAGUUGCAUAUGAUGCGGGGUAGAACUCAAUUUAGGCAAGCCAGUCAUGAUGGAUACCAAAGUAGUGGCGAAUUAAGUAGUAAUAGUUGGAAAAAGAAGGGCAAUGGUAGACCUAGGUCAAAGUCUAGAACUAAGGCUAGAAAAUGCUAUGGCUGUGGAGGCACAGGGCAUUUUAUAAAAGACUGCCAUAAAGAAAGGGGAAAACAAAAGAUUAAGGAAAGAGAUGAGGUAAAUAUGUUAUCCUCUACCUCCGAUACCGAAAACGGUGAAUUCUAUUUGAUCACUAGUCCAGUCGCAUACACUACUGAAUUGAAUCUAACUACUAAUUCUCACAUGCAUGAAUGGAUAUUAGAUUCUGGUACGUCUUUUCAUGUGACGUCUGAAAAGAACUGGUUUGAAAACUUGCAAGAAUCUAAUGAUGUGCAAGUAGUUCUGUGUGAUAACUUUGCCUAUACAAUUGCUGGAAUUGGAGAUAUAAAGAUAAAAUUUAACACGAGCUUUGUGUACAUGUUAAAGGAAGUUAGAUACAUUCCUGAAUUAUCUAGGAAUUUGAUUUCAGUAGGAAGACUUGAGAAAGACAACUUCACCGUUAAAAUUGGAAACGGUAUGUUUAAAAUGAUGAAGGGUGCGUUAAUCUCUAUUAAGGGAAUCAAGAAAAAUGAUAUUUACAUCACUACUGGGGAAGUAAUUAGAGGAUUAAACUCCUCUAUUUCUUCCGCCAAAAUCGAUCACACACAUACGUGGCAUAGUAGGCUUGCACACGUAGGCAUUAAGGGACUUAAGCUACUUAAUGAAAAAGGUGUAAGUAUUAUGCCCUAGGUCCAAUUAACUUUGGGCAUAAAUGCUUUAUAUAUAUAUAUAUAUAUAUAUAUAUAAUUAAUGCAAUUUAUGGCAGAUCUAUUAUUUAAUUAAUAGACAAUUAAAUAAAUAAUAGAGUCUGAAGAUUCAAACUUCCGUAAUUUGUUAAUCACAAGGAGUUGUGAUUGUGAGAUACAAAUUACAUCUGAUUGAAUCUUAAAUCAUCCAUGGUCGUAAGUAAUAACAAGAUACGGAUAUCGUUAUUACGGAUAGACCAUCACGUGUGGCAUUUCUUACUUGUGAAGUAAGUAGCUGAUCUCACAAGUUAAAGUGUGGUGACACUUAAAUGAACACGUGGAUGUUUUGUUAUAGAAUAAAACAUUGGAGAUCCGUCGAGAGAUUCCACACGGAUAACUAUCUGAGUGUCAGUGGUUAAUCUCUAGCGUUCAGUAGUGGAAUUGGUCCUUUGACUUGAGGUCGUCAUGGUACCUUAUAUGAGGAGAGUCAUACUUUGGCGGUGUUGGAUGUUGCUCUAAAAAGGGCCGCUAAUAUGACAUCGUUCGGGUACGUCAAGAGUCGUAUGAAGGUUGUGAUUGAUCAAUAAAGGAUUCGUCACUCUUAGAUAGUAGGAGAUUAUGAUCUGCGUUUCAUUCAAUUAAGUCGAUGAUGAAAUUCUUGGCCAAAGUGUACUCAUAAGUAGAAAAGGAGUUUUCGACUUAUAUUGACUUAAUAGUAGAGUGAAAGAUAUGAUCGAUGAUCGAGAUUGACACAAUUUCAUAUCUCGUAAUUGAUCGGAUCAUAUUGACGAAGGGAUUAUAGUUUCACGGUAAACGAACGAAUUUGGUUUUGUCAUAUCACGUGACAUUUUUCGUCACAUGUAUUGCCCUGACACAUUGUUAAAUGUCAAUCAGGGACGGCGAGUGUAAAUUGACGGUAAAUUAAAAGGGUAUUUUAAUUUAUCAAUUUUGAUUAGAUCAAAAUAAUAUUUCACGUAUCGUGGUCGGAAACCUAAUGGGUCGUACACAAAAGAGAAUUGGAAGAUUGCAAAUUGUCAAUUGGUUAAUUUAACAAUCGUUGGAUAAAUUAAUUAAUUGGAUUUGUUAUUUAUAUUCCCGAAUUAAUUAAUUGGAUUAAUUAAUUCACGGGCCGAGUUUAAUUAAUUGGAUUAAUUAAAUAUUGGACCGGACCGGGCCGAGCCCGUUUGGGUUUAUAUAAAUACAUGGCUAGGGUUUAAGGUCCAUAUGGUUUUCAUUAUUUUUGCUGGCACAAGAGAGAAAACCCUAGUAGCUGCAAUCUUGUUCUCUGUGUGGAUUACCGUUGGAGGCUGGACAAUUAGACAGCUGUGGAUGGCGAAUCAGGAUUGCUGGAAUGAAAAGAAUAGCAAAGAAGUUUGCAGAUCUGAAAAGGUACAAUCUUAUCACAAUUUCUAUCUAAACACAAAGGCGAUUCUUGGUGAGAAUCGAAGAUUAUUUUAAAUUCCGCUUUGUAUAUAUAAGUAGAUUCCCAACAGUGGUAUCAGAACAUACUUUGUGUUUGUUAGAAGUUGCUUUACAUAUUGGAACAAUUAAAUGUUAAUUGUUUUUCUUGUUUUAGCGAUUAAGGAAAUAAAUAAUUUUUCACGUUCAAAAUCAGGUUUUGAAUGAAAAUUAUUUUGGGAUUGGAAUAAUUUGUGAAUUCAGAUUUCAAAAAAAAAAAGAAAGAAAGGGGGACGGUUGAGGCGGCGGCAACCGUUGCCACCGCUGGCGAGGAGCGGCAGCGGCGCUCACUGCCACAGUCUAGGGCAGCGGCGAGCGCCGCUGCUGGAUUGCAGCGAGCAGCAGCGAGGUGCUGCUACUCGCCGCUACUGGAGGAAGCAGUAGUGCCCCUCGUGCUGCUGCUCGCCCCUGCUGGAGGAAGCAGCAGCGCGCGGCGUUGCUGCAAUUUACUGUAGCAGCGUCGUGACCUGCUACAGAUUUAGGAAGUCGCCAGGCGCGACUUCCUGUCGUGAAAGGGAAGGGGCGGCGCCCCAUGAAUUGAAGAGAAACAAAAAAAAAUUAGGUUUUCAGUCGGUUUUGGGAAUUGGAGGCGGGGGCUUCUGAUGCAAUUUGUGAAAUUUCAAGCCCCCGUUUGCAAUAUCCAUUUGGGGUCAAUUUGUAAGUUAUUUAAGUAAGGGACCGUUUUGAAUUAUUUGAUAUUGAAGACCCUUACUUGUAAUUUCACUUCGGUGGUAAAGUAGUAAUUUUCAAAUAAGGACCUAUUUCUGUAAUCUGUGAAAUUGCGAGGGUCGGUUUUGAAAUUUUCGAAAUUUUGAGACUUUGAUUAUAAAUUUUAACUUGGGUCAAAUUUCAAUUUCCAAAUGCUUUUGAAUUGGUUUUUAAAUUGUUUUUCAAAUGGGUUUUGACCUAUUUUGACUAAAUUUUUAAUUUUGACUCAAAUUAAAAUUCUUAUUUAUUAAUUGAUGACAUUUUAUAUUUUCGUUAAAAUUGGAUUUUAACUUAAAUAUUAUACUUUAACCCCAAUUAAAUUUUAUUUUAUUUAGGAAUGUUAUCCUAAAUUAAAAUAUUAAUUCAUUUUAAUUUAAAGUUGGACUCUAAUUUAGCAUUUAAUUAAAAUUAGAUUUUAAUUAAUUAUUCACCCCGAAUAUAUUCUAGAAAUUAGAAUUCGAUUCUAAUUUGACAUUUAAUUAAAAUUUGAUUUUAAUUAAAUUAUCCCGCCCUAAAUUUCUUCUUGAAAUUAGAGUUGGACUCUAAUUUGGUAUUUAAUUAAAAUUUUGAUUUUAAUUAAAUUAAUUCGCCCUAAAUAUUGGAAUUAGAGUUAGACUCUAGUUUUGUCAUUUAAUUAAAAUUUGAUUUUAAUUAAAUUCAACCGCCUUACAUUUUGAAAUUAGAGUUUGAUUCUAAUUUGAUAUUUAAUUAAGAUUUGAUUUUAAUUAAAUAAUCCCGCCAUAUAAUUUUUGAAUUAGAGUUGGACUCUAAUUUGUUAUUUAAUUAAAAUUUGAUUUUAAUUAAAUAUUCCCGCUAAUUAAAUAAUCGAUUAAUAUGAUUAAUUAAUUAUUUAAUUAUUCCGAUCCAUUUGUCUAAAAGAGUUUAGACGACUUAAUUGCUAGAAACUUAAAACUUAUUUGCAUAUAAUAUUAAAUAUUAUAUAGGUAUACAUUUAUGUGAUGAAUGUAUUAUUAGUGGACGAUUGUGGAAUCGACCAUAUGGAUUUGUUGAAUGGUUAAUUUUAAUUCUUGUCGUUUUGUGGGCCUGUGAGCUCUUAAUUGUUUUGGGCCUACGAGCUCUUAAUUGUUUUGGGCCUGCAAGCCCGUUAUUAUUGUUAUUAUUUUGGACCUACGAGUCCAUUAUCAUUAUUGUUAUUAUGGGCCUGUGAAUCCAAUUUCAUUUAAGCCUGCGUGCCAACUAGUAUAGGAUACAUGUUGGAAUUGGACUAAUUGAAGAGACAAGAAGAGGUGGAGACCAUGGAGAUGGUGCAUUGACACUGUUCAAUGCCAUACUCCCUAGGAAUUGACCAACUAGUCUUCAUUAUGGCUCGGGAAGACUAGAUAGUGAAAGUCCAUUAUCGUCCAUACUAUUAUAUUAUGUUAUAUAUAUAUUUAUUUGUAUAGUAGAUGUAUAAUAAUAAUAUAUAUAUGAUUGUAUUGUUGUUGAUGAGACUCAUGAAUGCAAAAUCCCUCCAUAAAAUAUUAAGUCACAUUUGUACUCGCCUUCCAUCAUUAUAGUGAAAAAUCAGAGUCCCAAAUCGUCUCAACUUGUUGAGUACACUCAAGGCUGGUCCAUUAGGGAUAUGUUUGACACUAUGAAAUAUUUGAUAUUUCUGAAUGAUGGGUUUGACUUAACUAAAAUUUAUCUUUUGUUGAGUACACUCAAAGAGAUAAACUUUAGAGGCAUGUUAAGUUAACACAUAAGAUGUGUGAAAACAAAGAGUUGUCAGCUUAAUGAUCUGGGAGUUGUAUGGAGAUACAAUUGAUAAUAGUAUCUACCCAAAUAUUAUAUUAGGGCUUGUUGAGUACACUCAAGGUCUUGAUAUAAUAGAUGGGAUCCCAACCCACUGGGAGUCAAGCAUGGACUCCAUAAAUUUAUGUGAGAGGGUGAUAAAUUUUAUUUAAAUAGUGGGAGCAUAAUUAAUUUAAUAAAAGACCAUGUUAAAUUAAUUGAUGCAUUUUAUAUAUUAUUCUUUCCUUUUUCGUCAUUUAUAUUUAUUGAAUCUGAGUAACCAUAUGUUUUGAAUGACAUACUAGAUGUCAACAACCAAACUAUAUUUUCUUAAUUGACACUGUAAUUUGAGAAUUGUUCUUAUGCAUGAGAAAAUUGGUCACGUCCUUGAGUAGCCAUUUCCAGAAAUACCUACAGAUGACUCAAUUAAAGAAGAGGUGGCUACUGUAGUAAACGCAGUUUAGUACUGCAACGUAUGUGAUACUUGCAACUAAGUCACUGAGUUACAAAAGCGACUUGAGAGUAUAGAUGUUAACACAUAAUUCUUCAUUACAAAGAGUUGUAUGGUAAUAAUCAUGUGUGGAAGGAUAUGAGACUUCCAAACAACUAUAUCGGUGCAAAAUGACAAAGUAAUCUUCAAUCGAUGCUUAGACACUGAAGAUGAUUGACGUUGAGAAAUGUCUCAACUGUGUUCAAUCAUAAACCAUGAACUAAGUAAUGACUUGGUUUUGUAAUCUCUGUCAGCUAAAGCUAUUCACAACUAAUUAUGAAUUUAACGUGAAUAAGCUCGAAUGCAAAAAUAUUGAGUUGCUUAACAUGCUUAGGACUGUUGACCCCUUUAUCAAAGUUGGUAGUGGGCAAGCCAUUGAUUCCUCUAAAGAUAUUAAGAGGAAGUCUAAAGGGGCUUUGUGAAAGCAUCCAAUAUGGUUAAGACAGUAUAAGCGAAGGACAAAUACCAAAUCUAAUGACCCUUGGUUUCAUUAUAGAAUGAAAGGUCAUUGGAAGGAAUAUUGCGUGACUUACGUCUAUUUCAUGAGUUUCUUAGGUAUUUGAUACCAGAUGUAAAUCUCAUAUUUAUACAAAUAUGGAGAAACUUAAAAGAAGUAGACCACUGCGAAAGGGAGAAGUUGACAUACACAUUGGAGAUGAGCAAAUGUUGCUGCAUUGCCUGUAUGAAUAUACUUCUUGCCAUUGCCCUUUUGUUUUAGUAUUGGAAUUAGAGAAAUGUCAUUUUAUACCAACCAUAGCUGGAACAUUAAAAUGAAUUUCAUGUUCGGACAUGAACUAUUUUAAUGUUAAGGACAAUAGUUGUUCUUGUUUAUCUUAAUAAGAUACUAAUGGCUAUGGUAAAUUACAAAACGACGUUUAUAUUCUUUAAUACUAAGGAUUCUAUAAUGAGUAUAGAAAUUAUAAGGCAUAAAUAUUAUAAUCUAAUUAUUACAAAAAUCUGGCAUGAUAGACUUUGUCAUUUAGAUUAAAUGUAAUUCCAAAGUUACAUAAAGGUGUAUACUUGGAAUUAAUUGAUUUUGACAAGUACAAAUUAUGCAUGUCUGGCACAAUGACCAAAUCUUCUUUUACUUGAAAAGAUGAAAGGUCAGCAUAAUUACUGGUCUAAUGCAUAGUGAUGCAUAUGGAUUCAUGGCAAUCAAUGUCAGGUAAUGUUUCUCUUAUUUCAUCAAUGAUCAAGUAUGCUUGAUGAAAAAUCAAACAUGAAACUCUUGAAAAGUUCAAGGGAUUCAAACUAGAAUUAGAGAAACAAAUAGGUAAAGAUACCUUCACAUUAAAAUUCGAUCAAGUGAGAGUAUCUUAAAGAUAACAUCUAGAUUAUUUAAGAGAGAAUGAGAUUCUCUUGCAGUGGACUCCUUCAUAUAUACUGCAAUAAGGUAGUGUAUCUAAAAGGAGGAAUCGUUAAUUAUUAGAUAUAAUGCGAUUAAUAACAAGUCAUGCAAAUCUCCCAAAAUUGUUUUGGAGUCAUGCAUUAAUUGCAGUGUGCAACACGCUAAAUCAUGUCCCAUCUAAAUUGGUUAACAGAACUUCAUACGAGUUAUGGAGAGACACUAGUCCCAAUUUAUCGUAUAUGAAAGUUUGGGGCCAUGACGCUUAUUUGAAGUGCCUUAAAUUGGAUAAGUUUGAGACUAAAUCCGAUAAAUACAUAUUUGUGCGAUAUUCAAAGGAGAGAUUUGAAUAUAAAUUCUAUUAUCAUGAAGAAAGUUUUCAUCUCACGACACAUCGUCUUUUUAGAGAAAAUGUUUACUCUAAGAGAGGACAGUGGGAGUAAAAUAGAAUUUUGAAAGAGUUCAAGAGUCCACAGAUAUAGUUAACCAAGUAGAUAAAUCCGAGUUUGAUCUCAUAUCUGAUAUGGGACAUACUUUGGAUCAGGAAGUAAAGACUCCUGAGGACAUGACAGCUCUAUGUAAAUCUAGUAAGAUCAUUCGACCUUCAAGAAUGUGCAAAUCCAUGAUCAUUAAUCAGGUAUUAGUGAUCCAGGACAAUAAACCUGCUAGUUGCAACAAAAUAAAGUCAAGUGUUGACUUAAAAGAGACAGCAAGAGGCCAUGAAACUCGAGAUGAAACUCGACGCAAGUGAACAAGGUUUGGACCUUGGUCAAGCCUCCUAAUGGAAUAAAGCUCAUAAGCUUUUGUUAAAUAGUUUACAAAAGAAAAGGUCGAUAUGGAUGUGAAUAUCUAUAUAUACAAAGCAAGGCUAAAAGCAAAGGUUAAAUGUUGACCUUGGUGAAACAUUUCUCCUAUAGCCUUGCUUAAGUCCAUUCGGGUUUUGUUUGCAACAGUUGCAUACCGUGACUAUAAGUUAAGAGAAGUCUCUUGGAGUUGAAAUCUUAGAUUUGAUGAAAAGUCAAAGUGUUUGAUUUUAUCAAAUUUGAAAAUGAAUUGUAUGUUUACAAGAAGAUAGUGGGAGCAUUUUCGUAUUCCUAAAACGACAUUCCUAUGUUUCAAUCGUUGAAAUAAUGGUUGUUAAAGGAUUUAUUCUCGAACGAUAUUGGAAAAGCAACUUGAUCUAUAGAGAUAAAUCUAGAGGGUUGCUUGACUCGUUUCAAUCUAUAUAAAAUGUUGAGAAGAUGUUACAUGGAGAAAUUGGUUUACUCUUAAACGGUGUGUUGGAAAGGUUCCGAACAUGAAGCAACCGUUGAUUUAGUAGUAGAAACCUAACACAUGAUUACUUUAGAAGUAGCAAGAAAUUGCAAUCUGGAUCAUGAUGUUCAUAAAUGAACUUGGAGUAGUUGAUAUUGUUGAUCACAUGUCAUUGUAUUGUGAUAAUAAUAGAAUCAUUGCGAAAGCAAAGGAACUAAGGUCUCAUCAAUGAUCCAAACAUGUAUUAAGGCGGUAUAAUCUCAUCAGAGAGAUAAUACAUAGAAAUGACGUAAAGUAAAGAAAAGAACAAAUUUCCACAUUUAACAAUAUUGCAGAUCCACGGACAAAGAGUUGUCAUAACAUAAACAUAAUCGUCAUGUAGACUUAUGAUAUUGAAUACAUAAGUGAUUGGAUCUAGUGCAAGUGGGAGUUUGUAAGUAUUAUGCCCUAGGUCCAAUCAACUUUGGGCAUAAAUGCUUUUGAUAUAUAUAUAUAAUUAAUUCAAUUUAUGGCAUAUCUAUUAUUUAAUUAAUAGACAAUUAAAUAAAUAAUAGAGUCCGAAGAUUCAAACCUCCGUAAUUUGUUAAUCACAAGGAGUUGUGAUUGUGAGAUACAAAUUGCAUCUGAUUGAAUCUUAAAUCAUCCAUGGUCGUAAGUAAUAACGAGAUACGGAUAUCAUUAUUACGGAUAGACCAUCACGUGUGGCAUUUCUUACUUGUGAAGUAAGUAGCUGAUCUCACAAGUUAAAAUGUGGUGACACUUAAAUGAACACGUGGAUGUUUUGUUAUAAAACAAAAUAUUGGAGACCCAUCGAGAGAUUCCACACGGAUAACUAUCUGAGUGUCAGUGGUUAAUCUCUAGCGUUCGGUAGUGGAAUUGGUCCUUUGACUUGAGGUCGUCGUGGUACCUUAUAUGAGGAGAGUCAUACUUUGGCGAUGUUGGAUGUUGCUCUAAAAAGGGCCGCUAAUAAGACAUCGUUCGGGUACGUCAAGAGUCGUAUGAAGGUUGUGAUUGAUCAAUAAAGGAUUCGUCACUCUUAGAUAGUAGGAGAUUAUGAUCUGCGUUUCAUUCAAUUAAGUCGAUGAUGAAAUCCUUGGCCAAGGUGUACUCAUAAGUCGAAAAUGAGUUUUCGACUUAUAUUGACUUAAUAGUGGAGUGAAAGAUAUGAUCGAUGAUCGAGAUUGACACAAUUCCAUAUCUCGUAAUUGAUCGGAUCAUAUUGACGAAAUGAUUAUAGUUUCACGGUAAACGAACGAAUUUGGUUUUGUCAUACCACGUGACAUUUCCCGUCACAUUUAUUGCCCUGACACAUUGCUAGAUGUCAAUCAGGGACAGCGAGUGUAAAUUGACGAUAAAUUAAAAGGGUAUUUUAAUUUAUCAAUUUUGAUUAGAUCAAAAUAAUAUUUCACGUCGUUAGGUAUCGUGGUCGGGAACCUAAUGGGUCGCACACAAAAGAGAAUUGGAAGAUUGCAAAUUGCCAAUUGGUUAAUUUAACAAUCGUUGGAUAAAUUAAUUAAUUGAAUUUGUUAUUUAUAUUCCCGAAUUAAUUAAUUGAAUUAAUUAAUUCACGGGCCGAGUUUAAUUAAUUGGAUUAAUUAAAUAUUGGACCGGACCGGGCCAAGCCCGUUUGGGUUUAUAUAAAUACAUGGCUAGGGUUUGAGGUCCAUAUGAUUUUCAUUAUUCUUACUGGCACAAGAGAGAAAACCCUAGUAGCUGCAAUCUUGUUCUCUGUGUGGAUUACCGUUGGAGGCUGAACAAUUGUACAGUUGUGGAUGGUGAAUCAGGAUUGCUGGAACGAAAAGAAUAGCAAAGAAGUUUGCAGAUCUGAAAAGGUACAAUCUUAUCACAAUUUCUAUCUAAACACAAAGGUGAUUCUUGGUGGGAAUCGAAAAUUAUUUUAAAUUCCGCUAUGCAUGUAUAAGUAGAUUCCCAACAAAAGGUGCAUUUGGUAAUGACUGUGUGUCUGACCUAUCGUUCUGUGAUCACUGUGUGCUCGGAAAGUACCAUAGAGUGUCGUUCUCCACUAGUACGCAUAAGGCUAAAAGCAUGCUUGAAUAUGUGCAUUCUGAUCUGUGGGGUCCUGUUAGUAAUCUCACAUCGGGUGGGAAUAGGUAUUUCCUAUCUAUCAUAGAUGACUACACCAGGAAAGUGUGGGUCUAUCUAUUGAAAGACAAAACUGAAACCUUCCAUAACUUUAACAAUUGGAAGAAACAAAUGGAAAACCAAACUAGCAAGAGGAUCAAAUUUUUAAGGACAGAUAACGGCCUAGAAUUCUGUAAUACUGAAUUCGAUAGGAUGUGUAAAGAAAGUGGAAUAACAAGGCACAAAACGGUUCCCUAUACUCCCCAGCAAAACGGGGUAGCAGAAAGAAUGAAUAGGACCAUACUAGAUAAAGUGCGCUGUAUGAUGUUAAGUUCUGGGGUUCCUAAGUCAUUUUGGGGUGAAGCCGUUGUAACUGCCUGUUAUCUGAUAAAUUUGACUCCAUCGGCUGCAUUAAAUGGUGAUACUCCACAUGGGAAAUGGUCUGGAAAAUUGGGUGACUACUCAAUGCUUAAAGCGUUUGGCUGUGCUGCCUUUUCUCAUCAAAGUGAGGGAAAGUUAGAACCUAGAGCCAAGAAGUGUGUCUUUCUAGGAUAUCCCGAAAGGGUUAAGGGCUAUAGGCUAUAGAAUAGGAGCCAAAAAGGAGUUAAGAUCAUCGUGAGUAGGGAUGUCACAUUUAAUGAGAAAGAGAUGCCUUGUCUAAAGAACGAAACCGAACCAAUAAGUGAAACUGAAUCAAGUGAAGAAAGAAGUCGGUUUAAGGUGGAGUUAGGAAAAUUUAACACAUCAGUACCUAGUACUUCGAGUGAGGUGGAGAUUCAGGUCCAAGAACCUGAAGAGGAAAAUGAAGUAGUGAUAGAAGAGCAUCCUGAGGAAGAAAAUCCAUUAGCUAACUAUAAUUUAGUUAGAGAUAGAGAGAGAAGACAAACGAGAGAACCUAGGAGGUUCGGAUAUGAAUCUGAAUUGGAUUUUGCAUACGCUAGUUACGAAGAACUAGUUGAUAGGGAGCCGAAAACUUUUGAAGAGGCUAUGAAUAGUGGUCAAUCUAAGGAGUGGCUUAAGGCUAUGAAAGAAGAGAUGAGUUCUCUAGAAAAGAAUCAAACUUGGGAGUUAGUACCGAGACAUAAGAAUAAAUCAAUCGUUGAUUGCAAGUGGGUCUUUAAGGUUAAGGAAGGUACUAGUAGUUCAGAACCCUUAAGAUUUAAGGCUAGGUUAGUAGCGAAGGAUUACACACAGAAAAAAGGUGUUGAUUAUAACGAGAUUUUCUCACCAGUUGUAAAGUAUACUACUAUUAGGGUCAUGCUCACAUUGGUUGCGCUCUUUGACUAGGAACUUGAACAACUCGAUGUAAAAAUCGUUUUUUUAUACGGAGAGCUUGAUGAACAAAUCUUUAUGAAUCAACCAAAAGGUUUUAAAGACAAGUUAAAACCUGAUUAUGUGUGUUUUCUGAAGAGAUCCCUAUACGGUCUAAAGCAAUCACCUAGACAGUGGUACAAGAGGUUUGAUUUCUUUGUACUCAUUAUAGGAUUUCAAAGAAAUAAAUUCGAUCACUACCUAUACUUUCAACACAACGAGACUGAUAACAAUUAUUUUAGUUGGAUCAUCUCCUAAGUGGAUAAACAAUAUAAAAGCAGACCUUAGUGGAGAAUUUGACAUGAAAGACCUAGGAAAGGCUAAAAAGAUUCUAGGCAUGGAAAUAGAAUGAAAUAGGUCAAAUUCCAUCGUAUUCUUGCAUCAGUCUCCAUACAUAUCAAAGGUGUUGAAAUGGUUUAAUAUGAGUGACUGCAAACCUGUCACGUUGCCUCUUGCAAACCAUUUUGUUCUAUCUAAAGAACAAGCUCCCUGCAAUGAACGUGAAGUGGAAUACAUGAGUAAAAUUUCAUACUCAAAUGUGAUUGGUUCCAUAAUGUAUUUGAUGGUUUGCACUAGACCGGACUUAGGAUUCGCUGUUAGUACUCUCAGUAGGUACAUGUCUAAUCCAGGUCCUGAACAUUGGGAAGCAUUAAAGUGGCUUUUAAGAUAUUUGAAGGGUACAAGUGACGUAGGUCUAAAAUUUAGUGCUAAUAAGGAAGACGUGAAAUUAAAGGGUUUUGUAGAUGCUGACUAUGCAAGAGAUAGGGAUGGUAGGAAAUCAACUUCCUCUUACGUAUUCAUCUUAUCAAAUUCGUGUGUUAGUUGAAAAUCACAGUUACAACACAUAGUUGCACUAUCCACUACAGAGUCAGAAUAUAUUGUCACCACUGAAACAAUUAAAGAGGCUCUAUGGUUUAGAAGUCUACUUCAUGAACUAAGUGUCUUGAAUGAGUAUGUGGUUGUGUAUUCUGAUAGUCAGUCAUCCAUACAUUUGUGUAAGAAUCCUAUUUUUCACGAACGCACUAAAUAUAUCGAUGUUAGGCUACACUUCAUUAGGGAUAUAAUAUCACAAGAAGUAGUAAGACUUGAAAAAAUCCACACACAAUAUAAUCCUUCGGAUAUGGGCACAAAAGUGCUGCUACUGGUAAAGUUUAGAAGUUGCAAGGAGCUUCUAAAUAUCGGUAUAGGUAAAUCAUUUCUAAUUUUAUCGAUUUUCUGUUAGAGGUGUCACUAAUGGAAAAUGUUUUCUCUUUGCAGAUCCUUUGACACCAAGGUGGAGAUUGUUAGACAUCAUGUUGUCAAACGACCUCUCGGACGAUGAUGUAAACCAGUUUUAUCAGUCGACAUGAAUGACUGAACGAUAAAUCAACAUCGAAUAAUGGGAUGACCCGACUUAACGUUGUUUUACCUAUUGGAUGGCUAAUAAACCUUUGUGGCUUGUUGGUGUGCUAUUGGGCCAUAACCCUAGUCGAGCCCACUUACCAUAUGUAUAACUUACCUUAUUGUUUGUCAUUGGUUUAUUAUUUAUAUUGGUAACUCUCAUAGCCUUCUAAGGUCCCGUUUUUGUGAAAGAACCCGAGAGAGAGAGAGAGAGAGAGGCCGUGUCUUCUUCUUCUUCGUGCAUUCUACUUCUUGAUCUUGUGUACAUCUUGCUUGUGUCUUUGUGACCCUUACCUGUGUGGUAUUCAUUCUUUGUGAGUGAGCAAACAACAAGCAGAAGGAAGAAAAGCAACCAUAGGUAGAACUCGUGAGGUUGGCGGCGGGUACCUUCGGUUUUGGUGUUGAUUCGGCGUUUUAAAGAUUAACUGAGCCCGAAAAUCAUCUUGAGCAGCUUGAGGAAGAUCCUAACAAUGUUGAAAGUGUUAAAGCAAAAAUAUUUCAAGCUCCAUAGAUAAAAAAUGCUCUACUUGAAUUGGCAAUCGUUGAUGAUCCUAAAACAAAAAGUGAGGCGGGGUGUUUGGCAACAUACGAAAUAGAAAAUUUUGAAUUCUUACUUGGGAUGGUUAUUUGGUAUGAAGUGUUGAAUAAUGUUAAUAGAGUAAGCAAACAUUUGCAAAUAGAAGACAUCCAUAUUGAUAUUACUAUAGACCAUUUAAAAUGGCUCAUUUCAUUUUUCAAAGGUUAUAGAGAAAUUGAGUUUGAAUUCGCUAUGAUUGAUGCUAAAGAGAUC